AACGAACGCUGGCGGCAGGCUUAACACAUGCAAGUCGAACGCCCCGCAAGGGGAGUGGCAGACGGGUGAGUAACGCGUGGGAACAUACCCUUUUCUACGGAAUAGCUCUGGGAAUCUGGAAUUAAUACCGUAUACGCCCUACGGGGGAAAGAUUUAUCGGGGAAGGAUUGGCCCGCGUUGGAUUAGCUAGUUGGUGGGGUAAAGGCCUACCAAGGCGACGAUCCAUAGCUGGUCUGAGAGGAUGAUCAGCCACAUUGGGACUGAGACACGGCCCAAACUCCUACGGGAGGCAGCAGUGGGGAAUAUUGGACAAUGGGCGCAAGCCUGAUCCAGCCAUGCCGCGUGAGUGAUGAAGGCCUUAGGGUUGUAAAGCUCUUUCACCGAUGAAGAUAAUGACGGUAGUCGGAGAAGAAGCCCCGGCUAACUUCGUGCCAGCCGCCGCAGUAAGAC
rnacentral:rRNA from 1 species